CAGCAGUCGCCGCGGGAAUACGGAGGGUGCAAGCGUUAUCCGGAUUUAUUGGGUUUAAAGGGUCCGUAGGCGGAUCUGUAAGUCAGUGGUGAAAUCUCACAGCUUAACUGUGAAACUGCCAUUGAUACUGCAGGUCUUGAGUAAAUUUGAAGUGGCUGGAAUAAGUAGUGUAGCGGUGAAAUGCAUAGAUAUUACUUAGAACACCAAUUGCGAAGGCAGGUCACUAAGAUUUAACUGACGCUGAUGGACGAAAGCGUGGGGAGCGAACAGGAUUAGAUACCCGAGUAGUCCCUGUCUCUUAUAC
rnacentral:rRNA from 1 species